rnacentral:rRNA from 1 species
GAUGAACGCUAGCGGCGGGCUUAAUACAUGCAAGUCGAGGGGUAGCAAUACACCGGCGCACGGGUGCGUAACGCGUAUGCAACCUACCUUUAUCUGGGGGAUAGCACGGGGAAACCCGGAUUAAUACCGCAUAAGUAAGUAGAUUGGCAUCAAUCAGCUUUGAAAGAUUUAUCGGAUAAAGAUGGGCAUGCGUAAGAUUAGAUAGUUGGCGAGGUAACGGCUCACCAAGUCUACGAUCUUUAGGGGCUCUGAGAGGAGAAUCCCCCACACUGGCACUGAGAUACGGGCCAGACUCCGACGGGAGGCAGCAGUAGGGAAUAUUGGGCAAUGGACGCAAGUCUGACCCAGCCACGCCGCGUGCAGGAAGAAGGCCCUCUGGGUUAUAAACUGCUUUUGACUGGGAAGAAGCGACUCUUGCGAGAGGCAUUGACGGUACUGUAUGAAUAAGCACCGGCUAACUCCGUGCCAGCCGCCGCCGUAAUAC